rnacentral:rRNA from 1 species
AAGUCAGAGGUGAAAUCCCCAUGCUCAACUGUGGAACUGCCUUUGAUACUGGUUGACUUGAGUUAUAGGGAAGUAGAUAGAAUGUGUAGUGUAGCGGUGAAAUGCAUAGAUAUUACACAGAAUACCGAUUGCGAAGGCAGAUUACUACGUAUGUACUGACGCUCAUGGACGAAAGCGUGGGGAGCGAACAGGAUUAGAUACCCUGGUAGUCCACGCCGUAAACGAUGGAUACUAGCUGUUGGGCAUUAGCUCAGUGACUAAGCGAAAGUGAUAAGUAUCCCACCUGGGGAGUACGGGAGCAAGAUUAAAACUCAAAUGAAUUGACGG